ensembl:lncRNA
AGUGUGACUACAUUUGGAGCGACUCAACGGCAGUGAAGGAUCAGUGGGCAGGGACCGCGCCAGGCGGAGGAAGGAAGGGAAGGCUCACGGUGCGCGCUGUGUCAAAAAAACCAGAAAGGAGUGUGGCGUCAGUGAGACUGGGGAUGCCCGGGUGUUGCUCUCUCUUUGGGUCUGAACAGGGGGGGAAAACAUCCCUCUCACCGUGUUUCCCAGCCCCUGACUGGUGGAAUCUAUGAGCGAAACACAUUAUUUUGAUCUGAUGGAAUCUGAGUUUUACUGGCUGCUGUGUUUUGCCUUCAAGUGGAGAAUCAUCACACCGUCUGGUUCGUGUUCAUAAAUGCUCCUGCAAUUUUUUGAGAAGUAAAGAGUCAGUUAAAUCCUUCUGAGGGACGCCAUGGAGAAUCCGGUCCUGGAGCCCAGAUCGGAGCGGAUUGCCCGCUACAAGGCUGAGAGGAGGCGAGAGCUGGCUGAACGCUUCGGCACAGUGGAGGAGCUUCCUUCUAAAUGGGUGAGGAGAGAUUCGAGAGAGGUGCACGAGCCAGCACACAGAGGGAUGUUUAACUCGGACGGCCGUGGUGAAAGAGUGAAUGGCAGAACACAAGCAGAGCUUACAAAUGGAUUGGAGGCAGACACUCCUCCAGAGACCAACUACCUGAGAAGCCAGGACUCUGCCAGCAUUCAGAGUGAGGAGGGGCCCACUGUCCCUCUCGGACUCGACGCUCCGCAGCUCCACACACGGGUGUCAGUGGGCCAGUUGAGAAGUGCCCUUCUGCAGCAAUCGGAGAGUGGAGCGCAGCCCGAGAAAGUCUGCCCUGAUGCAGGGCGAGCCACCUCCUCUCUGGACCUGGCUGUGAAGCCGGGCUCUGAGGGGAGCCGGCGACGCACUCGGCGUUACCUCCCAGGAGGGUCAAUUGGCGGUCGCAAGACCAGCGAACGCUUCAGGACACAGCCAAUCACAGCCAAUGAGAUGGAGGAGAGCAGCGGGUAGGGGCUGUUUGCUGUGGCACCUGGUCUGUUACUACCAAAGAAAAUGCUGUUUGCAGUGGGCUGUUUUUGGCGUGUUGAUAUUUUUAUCAC